UAUUACCCAAACUUCAUAGAAUGGUGUUAGGCAACAGCUCUAAAAAGAAGUUAAUGUUUGUACAGUUAUAGCACAGCUCCGGUGGCUUUUUAAUGCUACUAUUUAGCAUGACUUAGUGCGUGAGAUAGAGAAGAUCCCCCAAAGUAACAUUGCUGUUAGUGAACCAGAUUUGAACCAACUCAGAAUGGGAAGUGCCAACUAAAGGGUGAUGUGACUCAAACAAGGUAUUUUACCUCUCUGAUGAGAUAGGUGAAACCCUUAAUCAAGGCUGGGAUGCUGUUAUCAUAACAUAUAAAGAAGCUUUUCAUCACAAAGAUCCGGCUUAGAAUCCAUUUCCUGUGUGAAAGGUACAGGCUAUGUUGUUGCUAGAACAGUGGUAGUGGGAGAUAAGGUGCUUCAUUUGUAAAACUGAUUUCUUUGUGUCAUCGGGCAAAUAUGUGUUACAUGUACUUAUGGUGAAGUGCUCCAUGUUUUUGUUGCUGUUUCCUUUGC
rnacentral:lncRNA from 1 species